rnacentral:rRNA from 1 species
UGGGGAAUAUUGGACAAUGGAGGGAACUCUGACCCAGCCAUGCCGCGUGCAGGAUGAAGGCGUUAUGCGUUGUAAACUGCUUUUAUAUAGGAAGAAAUAGUCCUUGCGAGGAAAGUUGACGGUACUAUAUGAAUAAGCACCGGCUAACUCCGUGCCAGCAGCCGCGGUAAUACGGAGGGUGCAAGCGUUGUCCGGAUUUAUUGGGUUUAAAGGGUGCGUAGGCGGUUUAUUAAGUCAGUGGUGAAAGACGGUCGCUCAACGAUUGCAGUGCCAUUGAUACUGGUAGACUUGAGUAUGAUUGAGGUAGCUGGAAUGGAUAGUGUAGCGGUGAAAUGCAUAGAUAUUAUCCAGAACACCAAUUGCGUAGGCAAGUUACUAAGUCAUAACUGACGCUGAGGCACGAAAGUGUGGGUAUCAAACAGGAUUAGAUACCCUAGUAGUCCCUGAGCGGGCUGGCAAGGCGCAU